rnacentral:tRNA from 1 species
CGGGGUGUGGCGCAGUUUGGUAGCGCGCGCGGUUUGGGUCCGUGAGGUCGUGAGUUCGAGUCUCGCCACCCCGACCA